rnacentral:rRNA from 1 species
AAUCUUCCGCAAUGGACGAAAGUCUGACGGAGCAACGCCGCGUGAGUGAUGACGGNCUNNGGAUCNUNAAACUCUGUUGUUAGNNNNNAACAAGUAUCGUUCUAAUAUGGCGGUACCUUGACGUUACCUAACCAGAAAGCCACGGCUACCUCCGUUCCCUCAGCCGCGGUAAUACGUAGGUGGCAAGCGUUAUCCGGAAUUAUUGGGCGUAAAGCGCGCGCAGGCGGUUUCUUAAGUCUGAUGUGAAAGCCCACGGCUCAACCGUGGAGGGUCAUUGGAAACUGGGAAGCUUGAGUGCAGAAGAGGAGAGUGGAAUUCAAUGUGUAGCGGUGAAAUGCGUAGAGAUAUGGAGGAACACCAGUGGCGAAGGCGACUCUCUGGUCUGCAACUGACGCUGAGGCGCGAAAGCGUGGGGAGCGAACA